GCGGUGUAUGAAAAGGAAAGAGGACAACAUGCGGUAAUGGGGAGAUGAGAGUGGAUCUAAAUGAUAGAGAAAGAGGAGCAAUGGGAUGGCAUGCGAUAAUAGGCUUGAGCAACAGAGAGAUUCAUAGAGGAGAAAGGGUGGCAAUGUGCGGCGGUAGACCCUAAUGACGGAGAGGUAGGCAGAGGAAGAGGAGAUAGAAGGUAGCAUACGGUGGUG
rnacentral:lncRNA from 1 species